UUGAACGCUGGCGGCAGGCCUAACCCCUGCAAGUCGAAUGGUAACAGGAAACAGCUUGCUGUUUCGCUGACGAGUGGCGGACGGGUGAGUAAUGUCUGGGAAACUGCCUGAUGGAGGGGGAUAACUACUGGAAACGGUAGCUAAUACCGCAUAACGUCGCAAGACCAAAGAGGGGGACCUUCGGGCCUCUUGCCAUCAGAUGUGCCCAGAUGGGAUUAGCUAGUAGGUGGGGUAACGGCUCACCUAGGCGACGAUCCCUAGCUGGUCUGAGAGGAUGACCAGCCACACUGGAACUGAGACACGGUCCAGACUCCUACGGGAGGCAGCAGUGGGGAAUAUUGCACAAUGGGCGCAAGCCUGAUGCAGCCAUGCCGCGUGUAUGAAGAAGGCCUUCGGGUUGUAAAGUACUUUCAGCGGGGAGGAAGGGAGUAAAGUUAAUACCUUUGCUCAUUGACGUUACCCGCAGAAGAAGCACCGGCUAACUCCGUG
rnacentral:rRNA from 1 species